GGAAUUUUGGACAAUGGGGGCAACCCUGAUCCAGCCAUGCCGCGUGCGGGAAGAAGGCCUUCGGGUUGUAAACCGCUUUUAGUCGGGAAGAACAGAUCACUCCUAAUACGGGUGGUUCUUGACGGUACCGGCGGAAUAAGCACAGGCUAACUACGUACCAGCAGCCGCGGUAAUACGUAGGGUGCGAGCGUUAAUCGGAAUUACUGGGCGUAAAGCGUGCUCAGGCGGUUCGUUAAGUUCGAUGUGAAAGCCCCGGGCUCAACCUGGGAAUGGAAUUGAAAACUGGCGGGCUUGAGUCUGGCAGAGGGGGGUGGAAUUCCGCGUGUAGCAGUGAAAUGCGUAGAGAUGCGGAGGAACACCGAUGGCGAAGGCAGCCCCCUGGGCCAAGACUGACGCUCAGGCACGAAAGCGUGGGGAGCAAAC
rnacentral:rRNA from 1 species